rnacentral:rRNA from 1 species
AUUGAACGCUGGCGGCAGGCCUAACACAUGCAAGUCGAACGAGUGGCGGACGGGUGAGUAAUGUCUAGGAAACUGCACGAUGGAGGGAGAUAACUACGGGAAACGGUAACUCAUACCCAGACCAUCGGAUGUGACGCGAUGGUAUGAGCUGGUAGGUGAGGUAACGGCCCACCAAGGCGACGAUCCCAAGCUGGUAUGAGAGGAGGACCAGGCACACUGGAACUGAGACAUGGUCCAGACUCCUACGGGAGGCAGCAGUGGGGAAUAUUGAAAAAGGGGCGCAAGCCUGAUGCAGCCAUGCCGCGUGUAUGAAGAAGGCCGUCGGGUUGUAAAGUACUUUCAGCGGGGAGGCGUUACCCGCAGAAGAAGCACCGGCUAACUCCGUGACAGCAGCCGUGGUAAUAC